AAGACGCUAGUAAAAUCAGGUAUUACACUACUUUGUCAGGGUAGAGUCGUGGGUUAAACUCCCGCGCGUCUUG
rnacentral:tRNA from 1 species